rnacentral:rRNA from 1 species
GAUGAACGCUGGCGGCGUGCCUAAUACAUGCAAGUCGAGCGAACAGAUGAGGAGCUUGCUCCUCUGACGUUAGCGGCGGACGGGUGAGUAACACGUGGAUAACCUACCUAUAAGACUGGGAUAACUUCGGGAAACCGGAGCUAAUACCGGAUAAUAUAUUGAACCGCAUGGUUCAAUAGUGAAAGACGGUUUUGCUGUCACUUAUAGAUGGAUCCGCGCCGCAUUAGCUAGUUGGUAAGGUAACGGCUUACCAAGGCAACGAUGCGUAGCCGACCUGAGAGGGUGAUCGGCCACACUGGAACUGAGACACGGUCCAGACUCCUACGGGAGGCAGCAGUAGGGAAUCUUCCGCAAAGGGCGAAAGCCUGACGGAGCAACGCCGCGUGAGUGAUGAAGGUCUUCGGAUCGUAAAACUCUGCUAUUAGGGAAGAACAAAUGUGUAAGUAACUAUGCACGUCUUGACGGUACCUAAUCAGAAAGCCACGGCUAACUACGUG